rnacentral:snRNA from 1 species
GUCCCUUAUGGGACAUCCGAUAAGAUUGGAACGAUAUAGAGUAAGUAGGCAUGGCCUCUGUGCGAGGAUGACACGCACAAAUAGAGAAAUGAUCUCCUCUUCU